GGAUGUGACAGCGAUCUGGCUACAACGUCUGCCACCCCAUUGAUCACCAGGGUUGAAUUGGCUGAUCUCUACUGGCUGGGAGGGUGUUCUCCCUCACCAUUCCAUGCGCAUUCCUCCCAAAACUGCCCGCUCAGUCAAGGAAGAUGACUUUUACUGAGAGAAGAGGACUGGUCUUCAGCCAAGGGUGUAGGAGUAGCGGCUCCACCCUCCUAGAAUCUCCAGACAAGCCCUCCGGAAGCCUUAGAAUGUGGUCUUCUGAUAGUUUUUAUAAUUCAAGCUUCUCAGACCACCUCAUCCUGAGUUUUGUUCUAAAGC
rnacentral:snRNA from 1 species